GGAAUAUUGGACAAUGGGGGAAACCCUGAUCCAGCGACGCCGCGUGAACGAUGAAGUAUUUCGGUAUGUAAAGUUCUAUCAGCAGGGAAGAAAAUGACGGUACCUGACUAAGAAGCCCCGGCUAACUACGUGCCAGCAGCCGCGGUAAUACGUAGGGGGCAAGCGUUAUCCGGAUUUACUGGGUGUAAAGGGAGCGCAGGCGGUAGAUCAAGUCUGAUGUGAAAACCCGAGGCUCAACCUCGGGAUUGCAUUGGAAACUGGUUUACUUGAGUGUCGGAGAGGUAAGCGGAAUUCCUAGUGUAGCGGUGAAAUGCGUAGAUAUUAGGAGGAACACCAGUGGCGAAGGCGGCUUACUGGACGAUAACUGACGCUGAGGCUCGAAAGCGUGGGGAGCAAACA
rnacentral:rRNA from 1 species